GAAGAACACAAUGACGGUACUGAGGAAAUCAGCAUCGGCUAACUCCGUGCCAGCAGCCGCGGUAAGACGGAGGAUGCAAGCGUUAUCCGGAAUUAUUGGGCGUAAAGCGUCCGUAGGUGGUUAUAAAAGUCUGUUGUUAAAGCCCACAGCUCAACUGUGGAUCGGCAAUGGAAACUGUAUGACUUGAGUGUGGUAGGGGUAGAGGGAAUUCCUAGUGUAGCGGUGAAAUGCGUAGAUAUUAGGAAGAACACCAGUGGCGAAGGCGCUCUACUGGGCCAUAACUGACACUGAUGGACGAAAGCUAGGGGAGCG
rnacentral:rRNA from 1 species